AUUGAACGCUGGCGGCAUGCCUUACACAUGCAAGUCGAACGGCAGCACGGGUGCUUGCACCUGGUGGCGAGUGGCGAACGGGUGAGUAAUACAUCGGAACAUGUCCUGUAGUGGGGGAUAGCCCGGCGAAAGCCGGAUUAAUACCGCAUACGAUCUACGGAUGAAAGCGGGGGACCUUCGGGCCUCGCGCUAUAGGGUUGGCCGAUGGCUGUUUAGCUAGUUGGUGGGGUAAAGGCCUACCAAGGCGACGAGCAGUAGCUGGUCUGAGAGGACGACCAGCCACACUGGGACUGGGACACGGCCCAGACUCCUACGGGAGGCAGCAGUGGGGAAUGUUGGACAAUGGGCGAAAGCCUGGUCCAGCAAUGCCGCGUGUGUGAAGAAGGCCUUCGGGUUGUAAAGCACUUUUGUCCGGAAAGAAAUCCUUGGCUCUAAUACAGUCGGGGGAUGACGGUACCGGAAGAAUAAGCACCGGCUAACUACGUG
rnacentral:rRNA from 1 species